UCCCUCAUAGAUCAGUCAGUAAAUCAUCUGCCUGCAAUGCAGGAGACUCGGGUUCAAUUCCUGUGUCGGGA
rnacentral:tRNA from 1 species